GGACAGGAUGGAGCUCAGUCCACUGCCUGUGAUGCUCUGUGCUGACACUGAUGUGACUUAUGCUGAGAUUGAACUGAAACCAAUGCUAAAAACAAAGAGAAUAAAAGAGACAACCAAUGUGGGUGAUGAGACCGUAUACUCAGAGGUGCGGAAGCACAUGAAGUGAGCCGUGUGUCUAUGUACACUGAUGAAGCCAGUGUCAUCAAAUAGAUUGUGUUUGCCUUCUGUGUUUUUGCCUAAAAUAUUCAGCUGUUGAUCUUUUAAUUUGAUAUUUUAUUGGAUGAAGCCACUUGAUGGAGUAAUUCAUUGGCUAUCUUUAUGCCAUGUUGUAUGGCUACUUGUACAUUAUCUGUACAGCUCUGAGCUGGUUUUGGAACAGCUGGGGACCAUUUUGUCCAUAAUGGUGGAAUUGGUCUGCUCUUCAGUAGAGUAGCAUUAACAUGUAAUUUAUGUCAGGAUUCUGUUGCACAGUUAUGCCAAAAUGUGGCUAAAUUAAACACAUUAGUUUGGUUUUUAAGAAUUUGUUUGACUGCCAGUACUUUAUGUCAAAUAACCAAUGAACUGUAGUUUGCGUGUAAAAGCUUAUCACUCCUAGAGUGUAUAAUGAUGUACAGUAUAAAGUCUAUAUAGUGUAUAUUUGGGUUGAACAUUUCCUGCUGGGUAUAAACAUACAAAGCAUUUAUUUGAAAGAAAUUUGGGUAUUGAAUCAAUGAUGCAAUUUAUAUCACAAAAUGGCUCUAAAAAUUUUGCAUA